UUCUCGUCAGACUGAGGGGAGCCUGGACGACUGUUCUUGCUGCCGUGCCGAGUAAGCAGUCUGUCUGAGGCUGCAGUGCAGCCCGUAAGGGGCUCCUGGCCCCACGCCAUUCAUAUCAGUCUGGAUUAUAUUCAAACAGCAUUGAAUAUUAAACCGCUCACCACGACGUCUUGGUGAAACCCGUUAGAAGGUGUAAUUUUCCGGAGCAUUUUCAUGCACCACGUACAAGGCUGUAUUUCACUAUUUGCAGGUGGAAACUUGGGCUGAAAGCGGACAAGAAAAGCAGAUUUUAACUAGAUCUCCAGUCCUCUGCAGUACAAGAGCCACUCCCGCAGACCGACAAUCAUGCUUCCUGCUGCAGAAUUAAACUGACAGGAGCAAUGGAGGAUCCCCAGAGGGUUAACAUCUGGGCCCCUGUGCAGGCCUGGGCGAUGGGGCGCCACAGCGAAAAUUCAGCUUUCCUUCAGCUGGAUGUAGGAUAGAAGUUGUUUAUUAACAUGGAAUCUUCUUUAAAGAGCCUUCUUGUAUAGUUUCUGUUUUUCCUAAAUUGUGUAUAUUCUCAUUUUUAUGGUAUGUGAUAAAGAUGAAAUAUGACUGUGGGGCCAUUUUCCUCCCCAUCUGUGUGAUUUUUUUAAUACUAUGAUAGAAACGCUCGGGACUCUAAGCCUUGAUAAGUUCACGUUCUUGGGAGGACACAAAGUAGCGGCAAGCACCACAAAGCACCUCGCGACAGAGCUGACAGAUUUGGAGCUGUACAGACCUGCAAGUCUGCAUCGUUUACAACCUCCAAAGGGCCGAGAACAUCUGCAGCAGCAUGUCACCCACUUGUCCACUACCUACAGAAGCAAGAUCCUUUAUUAUAUAUUUUGUUAAUUGUUUUUUUUUCCCCCUCCCCUCAGUGUUGGUACCAUUGUGUUUCUCCACAGACUCUCUGAAACUUCAGUAUUUAAUACGUUCCAAUGUUACAUCUUCAGUCACAUUGCUAGGGAUAAAUACAUCGGGAGGGAGAAAUAAACGAUCAAUAUACCCACAAGCCAAGUCCACACUUUUUCCAGCACACUAAUCUCUGCCAGAUUUCAUCAGUCAGUUUGUCCAUUUGUUUCUUUAUUUUCAGAUCCACUUUAAACUACAGCAACUGAUCUUGUCUUCACACACUAACUACUGAAACUUAUAACACACAUUCAACAGUAUUUACUGAGGCUAAGAGUCCCCAAAUUCCCAUGCAGUUACUAGACGCUUUGUAGUACACAGUAAUUUUAAAAACGUUUUUUUAACUUUGCUUUGAUGAAUUUUUUUGGCUUCUUUUUUCUUUUGUUUUGUUUUUUUUUCUUUUGCUUUGCCGGUAUAUUAAAGUGUAAUCAUGUGCGUUGUGAUAUAGAAGUAGCUGUAGAAACCGCAUUGUUUCCUUGUGGUAAGUGAUUGAGAUGCUGCCACGGAUUUGAGACACUGAUGAAUGGUGCUAUUUUGGACUUUAAUCUGCUCCUUGGUAAGGUAGCUGAGAUGGUUAUUUCAUAUCUCUUCACGUCUGGAGAAGGUGUUUGGUUCUUUGUCGUAUGGUCGUUGUAACUUGGUCUGGAUCGACUUUUUAAUUUUUUUCCUUCUCCCCUUCCCUCCUGCCUCCGCCCCUCCUUCCGUCCUUCCACCCACUGUCGUUUCUGUGCGGCUUUCUCUUUGGACUAAACGAAAAAUAAAUAAAGAAAAUGAUGUGUACAAAGAAAACUAAGACCACAAAAUAUUUUUCUCAGAGGAGUCUCUUUAAAGAGGGUGAUUUAAAAAUAAAUAAUAAAAAAAAUAAAAGGUAAAAAAAUUUAAAAAAAGAACAGCGGGAGCAAUCACAAAACUGCAAUUAUUAAUGUUUAUACCCUUAAGGUCAAGAGCUUAUACGAGGCAUUAGUCGCACUUACUGGCUCUAGAUCAUUUGGCAGUGGCAAAAUAGCAUACCAUCUUGUGAGCAUUUUUUCCUUGAUAGUACUAUGUCAAGGACCUGUCUCCAGGAACGUCUUUAGCACUUAAAGAAUGGAACGUUGGGCAGAGAGUUGGUUUCUUUUGUCUUUUGCUUAAUAUGUCAAUCUGUUCACCCAGAAAAAGGCACCAGCUUUCCUGUAGGACAGUUCCAAAAAAAAUCAUACUUUGUUCCCCCUCCCACAUGAAUUCGUCCAUGGAAAGGUUGGUUUAGGCUUAAAAUCAGCUGCAUAGUCUUUACCAGACAGUAAUUAGAAGAUGCUUCUCGCAGCCAAGACCCUCACAUCUCACAGCACACGACCUGAUCAUGCUCUUUUCCUAAGCUAAAAUGUAGCACUGAUGAAUUAGUGUUCAUCGACGGAUGGUUUUUGUGAACGACUCGUAGGUCACCUUGAGGAUAGAAACCAAAAAGCUUUCUCUUUAUUUUGGGUGAUUCAGUAGCAAGCUGUCGUCCUUCAGUAUUUGCAGUUUUGUCUUUGCUUCCAGUUAAACGUAUACUUUUAAACAAAUCCCAAAUCGACAACCAACUUGAAAGCCCACUUUAGUUUCUUUGUCUUUUCUUUUUUUUUUCCCCCACUACCGUGGGAACCUUCCCAGCUUGCUCUAGAUCUUCCCUAGUGCAUCGGCUGCAUGCUUUCCGCUUUGAUUCGUUUUCAUCUUCGUCUGGACUGUUUGCAUUUUCUCUUUUCAUAGGCUAGGUAUUCUAGCUCCUGUAAAUAGCGUAGAUUAGGUAGGGUCUGAUGUUGAAAUACUAUAAUAACUAUUGGUGUAAAAAGAUACAAAAAAAAAAAAGUCAGCUUGUGAUCAAUAACAAAGCAUUAUGUAUUGUACAAGUAAUUUUGACCAUUUAAGCGGUAAUCCAAUAAACAUGCAAGCUCUCAA